UCUUUCUAUUGUCUGUGCUUUCCAUUAGGUCUAUUCGCAUAUAGAUAGGUGUCGACAGUUCGUCAUUCCGCUACGUGUUAGCGGAAUCUAGAAAACUUAAGUUUUAUGAAAAAAGAGUGAAUAAAAUUUUAUGUUAAAAAAUAUAAAAAAAGUGUUUGCACUACAAUUUAUUUUUAGUAUAUUAGUUACAUAAUAUUUUUACUGGAGGGCAAUAUGCCAAAUGAUGAUGGUACGGAAAGGUUCAAGGGAGAAAAAGAAUGGGAUGAGCGGAAUAAGGGACUAGGUGGUGGACAAUUGCUGGGAGUUAAAGGAGCAAGGCUUGAUGAUCAUCGUGAAAAAGCCAAGGAGAUAGAAGAAAGGAGGCUUGCGAGUCAGUUGAGGCAGUUGAGUCCGUUUGAGCAGAAAAACAAUCCUGGUGGUUCACAACAAUCCUAGACGUUAAGUAAAGGGUAGUUGUUGUAAUUUAAAAAUGGGGAGCGAGGCUUUGAUAUGACAGAAAAAAAUUCUACAUCCAAUGAGUUAGUAUACAACAGUAAAUUAUUGAAUAUUAUAAUGGAAAAAGUAACAAAAGGAAAGCACAAACACCUAAACCCAGAAGUUGGGAAAGACGGGACUCUCACAGAAUGCAAGAGGUUGUUCAAAAAAGGGGCUAGUCCUGAGGUAUUAACUGAGUAUUGAAAGAAGAAAUCAAACAGUCAAAAGAACUAGAGAAAAUAAAGAAAGAGAAGAUAGAACAAGUAAUUUCAGAAGCUAUUAACAAGGGCAGCAAAAAAGAUCAUCCUGAUAACGUUGAUCAAAAUGAAACUGGUCGUAGAGAGAGUAUGGAGAGUCAAGACAGUGGAAUUGAAAGCGGCAACAGUAGUGAAGCUGAAGAUGAUCAUGACGCUAGUAAGAAGCAUUCAAUUGAAUUGCAUAAAAUCCCCAAAUAUUUUUGCACUUAAAAUGAGAUUGAUACAUAUUUCACCUUGAAAAGAGAGAAAGCGAAAAUGUCGAGUGCCAAAAGUGCAAGCAACGCGAACAGAGGUCUGUGGCUAAACUACUACUAGUGUACACUUUUGGAACUUAAAGUGAGAUAGAUAUACGUUUUGUAGAGACACAUUCACACUUCCAUACAACACACACACACACACACACACACACACACACACGCACACACCCACCCACCAUUCUCACACUCUUUCAGUUAUACAUCAAUCAUACCUUAUAUUCGUUAGCUCACACACUCCGCGACCAGAUUACACGAUAUCGAAGUUCCCAUCUAGACAUUCUCUUUUUAGUUCUUCUUGCACUUUGAAGAUACACAAGACAUAUCGAGUUACGUUGUCGUGAUAAAAUAUAUGUAAUAAAAUAUAUGUAGUAAAAUAUAUGUAGUAUGUGAUAAUAAACGAAUGUUGUCACACACAUUU